AACACCAUUAAUAUUCUUAGAACAUCAUCAAUAUUAACAAUUAACCACAAAUCAUAAUAACAUGCUUUCGUUUUGUGUUUGUGAUAUUGAAACAACCAACAUGCAAACAUGGAAAAGAUACGCAAUUUGACGAGGAGUUUUUACACAACAUAACUCGUGAACUGUUGAAGGACACACGACUUAGUCAAACACUGACUAAUGUUGUAAUCCCAACUUUCGACACCAAGAGACAAAAGCCAGUUAUAUUCUCAAACUACAAGGUUGAGAAGUAUCCCUACUUCAAUGCCUUGAUGUCUGAUAUAAGCAUAUCGGCUUCAGCAGCACCCACUCUUCUUCCACCCUACUAUUUUCGGAAUGAUGGUGUUGACUUCAAUUUGAUUAGUGAUGCGGACUUGAGUAUGCUUAGUAAUGAUCUAGUAAAUGGAAAUCCGCUGUACCAUGAAUGUUCUCCUUUGAAGCUAUCAGCUAUUGUCGUGAGUUUGUUGGGAAUGACAAUGGCUUUGUCAGAAAGCUUAUCACUUCCAUUGGAGUCUCGUUGUAGUUGAAGGGAGUUCAUGGUAAUAGAGUUCAUUCGAAGCCUGCAUUUGAAUGGAACUGCUCUUGGUUCUUUUGUGCGGCCUGCUGUUCUAAUAACUGAUGCUUACAAUGCUUUGAACAAUCAGCCUUACAGACGGCAAAAGGACAAAGAAUUUGGAGGUCACUGCAUUAAAGUCACAAUUGGAUGAACAAAAUAAACGAAAUGAAGAACGUGACAAAAGACUUGAUGCAAUCAUGAACUUCUUUUCUCAAAAUUAUCAAGGUCAAUUGCCUCCUGAGUUGACUAUGUUCAAUCCUACACCGGUUUCUGAUCAAGAAAGUGUGAAAACUAAUACAACAAGUUCUGGACAUGACGAAAAUCAUAUGUGAUAGUUCAAGAAUAUAAUAUAAUGUGGAAGUUAAUUUAAUCAUUUAAUGUUUUGAGAACUAUUGCAGUACUUCAUGAUAGUUUUUGCUGACUAAUAUUGUACUUGAAUUUGAAUUUGAAUUCGUAUAUUUGUUGUACUUUGAUAUACAUUUAGUCAUCUAUAAAUAAUUUGUCAAUUUGAUGA